rnacentral:ncRNA from 2 species
UAUUUUCGCUAGGGGUUCCGUGCCGGUUUGCCGGCGUGGAUGAGAGAGUCCCUCAGCACCUGAUCCGGCUCAUACCGGCGUAGGGAAGCGAAUCUGCAGGGCG